rnacentral:rRNA from 1 species
UGGGCGUAAAGCGAGCGUAGGUGGCUUGAUAAGUCAGAUGUGAAAGCCCCGGGCUUAACCUGGGAACGGCAUCUGAUACUGUUAGGCUAGAGUAGGUGAGAGGAAGGUAGAAUUCCAGGUGUAGCGGUGAAAUGCGUAGAGAUCUGGAGGAAUACCGAUGGCGAAGGCAGCCUUCUGGCAUCAUACUGACACUGAGGUUCGAAAGCGUGGGUAGCAAACAGGAUUAGAUACCCUGGUAGUCCACGCCGUAAACGAUGUCUACUAGUCGUUGGGUCCCUUGAGGACUUAGUGACGCAGCUAACGCAAUAAGUAGACCGCCUGGGGAGUACGGCCGCAAGGUUAAAACUCAAAUGAAUUGACGGGGGCCCGCACAAGCGGUGGAGCAUGUGGUUUAAUUCGAUGCAACGCGAAGAACCUUACCUGGUCUUGACAUAUCUAGAAUCCUGCAGAGAUGCGGGAGUGCCUUCGGGAAUUAGAAUACAGGUGCUGCAUGGCUGUCGUCAGCUCGUGUCGUGAGAUGUUGGGUUAAGUCCCGCAACGAGCGCAACCCUUGUCCUUAGUUACCAGCGGUUUGGCCGGGAACUCUAAGGAUACUGCCAGUGACAAACUGGAGGAAGGCGGGGACGACGUCAAGUCAUCAUGGCCCUUACGACCAGGGCUACACACGUGCUACAAUGGUAGGUACAGAGGGCAGCUACACAGCGAUGUGAUGCGAAUCUCAAAAAGCCUAUCGUAGUCCAGAUUGGAGUCUGCAACUCGACUCCAUGAAGUAGGAAUCGCUAGUAAUCGCGGAUCAGAAUGCCGCGGUGAAUACGUUCCCGGGCCUUGUACACACCGCCCGUCACACCAUGGGAGUUGAUGCACCAGAAGUGGUUAGCCUAACCUUUUAGGAAGGCGAUCACCCACGGGG